CUCGUUGGCUGAAGGACAGUGACCUGACUCCCUGCUGCUGGCUCUACUCCUGUCGCUCUCACAGAACUAGCACCCUAAUGGGAAGGGACAAACACAUAACCGAGAUACAGGGUCCACGGACAGCAACACUGGAAUACUCUCCUGGAACACUCACUCUUAGGGCUGAUUUCUGCCCGAGAGUGAUUCACGCUGCAGUGACUAAGGGCUAAAUUGUGUGGCUCUGACUCCAAACACUAAAGCAGUCUGCGGGGCAGGAGAGACGAGCGGAGAUGCUACAGGGGAGGUGGUGAAGGACAUGACUCAGGGCCAGAAGGGUCUUCGGGACACAGGUGGGACUGCUCAGCCAGGACACCACAGGCAAAAGCAAUUGCGAAAGAGCACAGACAUGGCAGAGGGCAGACGUGAAGGAUGACCCCAUAGUGUGGCGUUCUUCCAACAUGCAAGUGGCCCGGCAGGCUCCGGGGUGAGGCUUAGCUGUGCUACUUAACUCUCCAAGCAAUUUCCAGAUGAACAGGGCCUUACAGAGGAAAAAUAUAAGCACAGCCUUCCCCAAAACGUAUUUAAUGAGAUCGUGUUUUUAUAAAUAUUAAACUGAUAAAUUUUAGUCUUG
rnacentral:lncRNA from 1 species